UGUGUGAGCAGGCACUGUUCGACUUACUGGAGAAACAGAAACUUUGAUUUGAAAAAACAAAAACAACAACAACAAAAAAGCAGCAUAGGUUCUAGGUUUUGGUCCUCCAGAAGGGCCAGAAAGAAAAAUCCAAAAUGAGGUGCAGGCUGGUUGUCCGGCUGUGCCCAGGGCCCACCAGGUGCCCCUCCACUCAGCGUCCCCUCUCAGCCAGCCGGCAGCUGCAGGGCGCUGGGAGGUCACUGUCCGCACCAGCAGCUGGGAACCGCGUGAGGCCUGGAAGGGCCAGAGCUGUGGAGCCCACAGCACAGGGCCUGGCCCUGGUGGUGCUCGGGCACAGGAAGGAGGCCGUUCGGCCAGGGCCUCCUAGGAGCUGCACCGGCCUCCUCCUUGGCCCCGAUUCUGUCACCCGGGAGGCUCUGGAAUCUCUUAACAAUGAGAGUGGAUCAGACUGGAUUUUGUUUGGGGAACGUGGGGGCCACUGGGAACUCUGCGGAGACGGUGUUGGAGGGCUGCGCCACGGGGACCUGCGCAGGCGGCAAGCGGCGGGCAGGCAGCCACAGCGGGCGGGGGAGACAGAACACCGACACGUCAGUCGUCAAGCAGCCCAGACGGAACCACAGGUACACAGAGCAGAGCAGGCAGGCAGAGCGGGCUGGGCGCACAGGCACGUGUGGGAGGGCAGGGCGGAGCGUGCUGGCUGCUAGAAGCAGGGCUGGCGGGGCGCUGGGGAGGGAGGCGCAGUACGCAUUCUUCAAGUGGACAACUUUUUGACUCAGCCCGGGGCCACAGAGCAGCCUUCAGUCCAGGAACACGCUGUGCCUGCUGGCUGGCCCCGACAGGAGGGGUCUGCCCAGGGAGGGGUGGUGCCCAGGGGCCUGGGGCACUUCUGAGUGGGGAGAGCACCCAGGCCCGGUAUGGCCUGGCCAACAGAGGCAGGCACCUUCUGCUACCAACAGACACACGGUGAUAUCAAGGCCUCUGAUGGCCAAAGGGACCGCAGGGCCUGGUGAUCUCUGUGUCUCUCUAGUGGAACCAUCAGGAAGCCGCCCUGAGUUCGGCAGCCUCCUCUCGCCCCAGCUUCCAACGCGCCAGCAUCAAAGACCAGAAGUUCAACAGAAAGCAGGGGAGCGGUUGGCGGGGUAACCGGCUUCUGAGCAAAGGAGGACGCCCUCGUGGUGGCUGGGCCCUGUCCACGCCUGGGCCACCCUGCCCAGGGCCUGAGAACGCAUCUGGCUAGAACAGUUCGGCUGCUGUCAGAUGUAAUGAGAUAAUAAUGUGAUAAGAAUUAAAAUAACCUUCAACCCCCUCAAAGCCCCAUAAACGAAAUGCUGGCUCCCAGCCUAGAGAAACGGGCUGACCAUGCUUCGGCCAAGUGACCUGUGUCCUCACCUAGGCUGGGUCUGGGUAGUACCUCUGGGGGCUCACUCACAAGCCCACUCUUUCUAGAAAAAUUGCCAGCACGUGUCUAUAGCUGGCUCACCCAACACCACAAUCUAGGGGAGGAAUCAAGUUAAAAUACACAGUGAGAAGACUGCCCUCGUGUUCGCCAAGUCUAGCAAGUAACAGGACCGCAGCCAGGAGAGCAGAGAGCUGGGGGCACAGCCCCGCCUGACGCAGCCUCCCUGGAGCAGGAACCUGACCCGAGGGUCUGGGCCAGCUGGGCGGGAGUCUACUAGCCAGGCCGCAGACCCCUCCUCUGCCCAGCGUGAGCACUCCACAGAGGUUCAAGCCAACCUCGAUCAGAUCAGGAAGAAUCUACACUGCCUUUUUAUUUCUUUGACCAACUGGGGACUUAACAAUGUUGAAAUGAAAACACAUCAAGGAGUUCAAACCACCCUAAAACGACCCCUGGGCAACAAGGGAAGUCAGUCCUCCCUCUGGAGGGCACACACGCCGCUGGGCAGCCCGACCCCAUCAAACAGGAAGCAGCAGGCUCGCCGGGCACGAUCUGCCAGGUUUAGGCUUGCUGGCAGGGCUUCUGCCCGACACGCUCCUGUGACAGGAAAUGCCAACUUUCGUUAUCUUGAUGCUUCUAAGCCAGGGCGUUGGCCUCUGGGAGGGUGCCUGCCACGUCACCAAGUUCUCUGAACCAAGCGUGGAAAGUCAGUGCAUCUCCGCAGAAGAACCGUGCCGACACCAGCUGCCAGAGCAGAGACCCCACGGCCAUGGGCCUCAGCCCGCCUGGGAGGAACCCCCCAGGGGUCCACGGCUACAAAGCUUUUGACAAAAGACACUAGGGCUCAUGGGCCUUAAGCCUUCGGGUUCUACUCAGCACUCUUUGUUACUGUUCAUAUUAGGUCCCAGGGAGCUGCCCUGGCUUCCUCCUCCGGGUGAAUCUUGAGAGCCAGCUUGCUCAUAAAUAAACACUGACAUUCGAGAAGCUCCUCACCCCUCAAAGCACCCCCCAAGCUGGAUGGCGGGAGCCCUCUGGUUCCCUCUCCUCUGCUUCUCCCAGAGAGCCGUGUGUCUGUGUGAGAGCGCGGCCCAGGGUCGUGCUCAGGAACGCCGGGUGUGGGGCGGAGAGGGGGGCCUCAAUCUCCUCUCCUGGGACACAGGGUGGUGGCACCCACUACUCCACUACUCAUGACCCCGAAUCCCUGCGUUCCAGGGAAAACAGGGGUGUCAGAGCUACUGGAACUGACCCUGGACAGACUGCCAGAGGGCCUGACCUCAGGCGUGGAUCACGUGGAGCUGGGCUGCAGGCAGCAGGAAGGCGCAUGAGACACAGGGAUGGGCUGGCCACAGUGACUGCCCUUAACCCCGGGGCUCCCAAGCCGCCUGCCUGAUAAUCAAAGCGGGACACCAUACUAGGGCAAAGUUCCCACCACGGGGGCAUCAGACGCACACCAGACACACACGCUGCCCGGGAAACAGGAGCCACGGAAACCGUGAGGGAGGAGGAAGCACCCAGGCCAGCUGACGGGAGGGGAGGGAGAUGCCUGAAUGAACAAGCCUCUCCCUGGAGGAGACGGCGCUGGACAUUGUCACUCUGUCACUGCCCCCAGUCCUGGACAUGUCCCCAGGCUCCGGAGAGGCCUCAGUGUUCUCAGCCGUCAGAGGAGGGCCGGCCCAGCUGACCCCUGAGAGGCCAGGUGAGCCCUGGUGUGAGCAUCAACUUGGGCAAGGGGUCUGAUGGAGAGCUUGAGUUGGAGCAAGGAGACGGAAAGGGGAAAAGAUGCGAAGAGAGAAAAAUGAAGGCAGCUGGUGUGGGGACGCCUGAUGAUGAAGACCCGUGCCUAGACUACCUCCCCUGAGCACAGGCUGGCGGGGCUGGCUGAGUGGGGGCCGUGGCCAGGAGCACGCAGGGGAAGCCAGCUGUGGCCGUGGCCAUGGCCGGGCUGUCCACUGACCUGCACGGGCUGCAGGCGGGCAGCUCUACUUAGGGGGCAGUAGGGCCGCCUGCCCAAAGGGGAACGUGCUGCCACGGGGCCAGCCACAGCCGGUGCCCUCUGCAGCCUCAGGCUUGCUGUGUCUGGGGGUCUUCCAGGCCUGAGUAGGGGGCGCCCACCCCACCCCAAACCCGGGCUCCGGUGGAAGCAGACUUUCACUAACCCACUUCUGUCCUGUUGGAAUUAAUGCUCGUUCAUAGCAGGUUGUUUUCCCAGCUGCACCCUGCACGUGGGAGACAGCCUUCUCUGCCUGCCAGCCAGGAGAGGCAAGCACAGCCAGGCGGCCCAGGCAGGCUGCUGGAGCAGUGCUCAGGGCCUCCUCCGCAGGAAAGGGGCCCAGGGCCGGACUCACACCCCCCCCCCCCACUCCGCUUCUCCCACAAGGACACCUAGCUGUCUGUUUCCGGCGCGGCAGGAGCAAGUGCUGAGCUUGGGGUCCUGAGCCCCCCCCUACAAUGCUCCACCCUCCCCAACAUGAGGGAGAAUCUAAAAGCCCUGUGUUCUCACGCAACAGUCCAAAAAGUUUCCAAGUAAAGAAUCUGUACAUGGGAGACUUGGGGAGACAGGGUUUCUAGCUAUGGGAAGUAAGGCAAAGCAAUUAAUAUACACUGUUUAAAAGGGAGAAACGCUGCAGUCAGACAGGAGACACCAGGUUAGCUGUUAGUCGGCUUGAUCCUGAAGCCGGGGACUGGAGCUCCGGGCGGGGCAGGGCGGGGGCGGGUGCCACCCCGCCGCCGAGCCCCACGCAGGGCGGUCGGUGGGCAGUAUCCUGUUUUGCAGGAUUAAGAGGCACAAGGACACAUGGCUAGACCCUCCCAAUUUGGACAGUGCAGGGGACACGGUCUCCAGGACUCCUGCUCUAAGGCCACCCACACACGUGGGCCAGAGCCCCCGUCUGUCCCUGAAGAAACAAACGCAGGGCCGGGCCAGCCUCGCCUCUGAACGGCCUUGGGGUCUGGGACAGCAAGUGCCAGGCUGCCUGCUGCCAGGGGGUGGGGGAGAUGCCUCCCGCUACCGGGUGUGGCUGUGCGAGGUCACCAGUUCCAAGCUGGGCAGACACCUGGGCCCGUGGUUCUGGCGGCCCUGCGGCCCACAUCCUUGAGCGCCGGCCACACCUAGUUUAGGCAGGUGACUCCUGUGCGGCCUGCAAUCCUGUAACACCCUCCCCCUGGCCACAGCCCACGUGGUCCCUGGGGGUCAGUCGUGCUUCCUCCUCGUGUGUGCAGUGUCUCCCCCCAUCCACCCAGAGGCCUACUCUGCACUGGUUUUAUCUUUCCUUCUCUGCAUCCUCGCCGCCCCAGCCCCGCCAGGCACACAGCCCUCUGGUCUCUAGGUCAGAGGCACUCAGCGAGGCUGUGGCUUCAUCAGAGGGGAAAUCCUCACUCCAGCGCAGGCAGCCUGGGACGAGUGACCCUCCCGGACACAGACUCAGGGCCACCUGAUCACGAGGCAGGACAGACCCUCCCAGGGCUCUGAGCCGCGAAGGCUGUAUGAGGUAACCGCGUUUAUGAUAUCCAGCGCCCCUGGCUGGGUCAUCUUCUUUUUCUGUUCCUAUUGUGUUUGUGUGUUUCUUUAAGAGGUUUCAGAUCCUUCUGGGGGACACAGUGGGUACAAAUAAUUACGUUAUAAAACCCCAUCAGCCUAGGACUGCCAAGGUCACAGGCUGGAGAGGACUUCUCCUCCCAAGCCAAAGCCACAAUAACUUGUGCUCAUCCUGGAAAAGUGAAUACUUCCCAGAGCUCCAGAGACAGUAAAAGGGGGAGGGCCCUCCCCUCACUCCUGCAGCUGCCGGAACCUCGGCAGAAAGCUGGGGGUGGGAGGGUUCUGGAGCUGGAGUCCGUGGCUGAAGGAGACGGACAGGAGGGAGCGGCCUUGUACUGUCUGACUCGUGAGGGCUGAGUAGGCGACAGGGAUGCACUGGGUGGACAGGGCCGGCGCAGCCAGCAACCUCUCACCAUUCCGCGGGCCCGGAGCCAGCUGUCUAAGGGCUCCAGGUCAGAGUCCCCAUCUUCACCUUUCUUCUGGGCCGAGGGCAGAAAAGUCCCAGAAAGAAAAGUCAGGCCAGACCCGCAUGAAAGAAGGUCCGAGCACAUGGUGGGGACAGGAGGGCCUCCGUCAGAGCCUGUCCCUUGUCACGUGAGAAGCCGCAACCCAGUGCCCCCCGCGCCGUCCCCUACCCCCACCCGGACAAAAGAAGAGCUCAGUGACCAGGAGUCCCAGAAGGGUGACACGCACUCACGCCAACAUUUCCGCACUCUGGGACAUCUCAGCCGGGUCCCAGGAGGCUGGUCCCAGGAGGCCGGCCCCGGCUGCUACUCAGGAUCGGGGCUCUCGGGGUCACCAGAGGGUCGACUUCAGAGAACCAGCUUUUACAAAAUCACGUCUACUUUCUUCUAACUUAUUUCUGCCUUUUUCCCCUCUUCUUCCUCCUUCUCAGUUACCUGUGUGUUCUUUUUCCAAACUUUGAACUUCAGUGCUGGAUUUGGGGAUACUGCCCUUUUUUAAAUGAUGUGGGUAUUUAAAGGUAAGACUAUGGAUCUGACGGACCUGUGGAGAUGUGGUUACACAACUUUUUCCCCUUUACUGUGUUCUUAGUCUCUCCCUUGGUCCAGUUUUCAUUUCCAGGUCAGCGUGGUUCAGGAUAUGGAACAUGAUAACCUGAAGUCCAGGCCUGAGGACGCAGGUGAGUCAGUGGACAUGCACACAGACACACGGACACACAGACACACACACACACACACACACACAGCCCACACUCACCCCCGCUCCCCAGAUCACCCCCUUGAGCAGCCUGCCUCCUGUCAGGUGGAGACGCUGAAGACAGGCAGGUGGGCCAGGCCAGGCGCCCACGGGUGAAGGCGGAAGUGGCCGCAUUCCUGAGCGUGGAGCCCAGGCCUGUACGCAGGCAGCAGAGGUGCAGCAGAACACAGUGGGAGUGGCGGGAGGAGACCCUGCAGGCAGUGGGGGGGAGGGGCCGGCCUGGCACCCUCUCAGUUGGAGGGAGCACGUCCCCAGUAAUGGGGUCACAUUACUGGACCAGACCAGGACCCCGGCCACCACGCAGGUUUGGGGGGCCGGGUCUCGGGAGUCGUGCGGAGGGCUGGCUCUUCCGUGCCCCCUGGUGGCCAGUGCAGACAAAGGGCCGCUUGGCCCUCACGCAGCCAGCUGAGCCACCAGGGCCCUGGGGACCAGGAGUCCCUCCCACAGGGCGAGGUUUCUCACAGGGACCAGACCGCAGCCCUGCUGCCCGCCCGGGCCAAUUGGACAGGGGCCGGGAGGCCAAGGCCUGGCCUUCAGGACACCGACCCCUCUGGUGGACAGAUGAUCACUGCCCCUUUCUGUCUUGGGGAGGGGUGCAGGGGGGCUGGCAGCUGUUACAGGGCCAACAUACAUUCACUCACUCGCUGCCACACACGUUUCUCAGGCAAAGAGGGAACCAUCUCAGGAGAAGCAUUAAGGCACAAACCCUCUUCCUUCGGUGAGAUGCAACCUCACAGAUCCGUGACUGCGUUUUGGCUCCAACAAGCACCAUCCACCACCUCCAAGCACCUCCACCUUCAGCGCGGCUCUUUCCAGACAUGGAGCUUCCCAGAGUGCCCUCCCCACCACCACCUGUCCCUUCCACCCUCUGGCCCUGCUCCCCAAACCCGCCCAGACCAUCAGCUACUUCUAAUAGGGCCCUGCCUCGCCAGGCCCAUGACAGAAGACCGGCAGGGGCCGGCAGGGACCACGCAGGAUCCCGUCUGCGUCAGGGCCGUCCCUGCCAGGCACGGCCCGCCCAGGGCGCCGCAGCCUUUGGGGAGAGGCCCUGCGCCCUGGGAACUCGGAGCCACCACAGGAGGAAGGGCAGGGGCUCCCGGUCGCACCUCCUGGGGAAGCAGCCCUGCCUGCGGCCGCUCACCCAGUACCCCUAGCCUGACAGCCUCUGGGCCCAAUUCCUCCUGGGUGUCACGGGAAAGCGGACACGGGCGUGUGGGGGUUGGCGAGGGCUGGAUGAGCUAACACAGCUGUCAUCCUGGUCUGCCCUCCCUGCACUCCAGCUUCUGCCUGACUAUCCAGCCAGCUUCCCCCCACCCUGCAGGACUCCAGGCAGAAAAACAGAUUAAAGACCUACCACUUCGGAGCUCUGUUUCCGACUGUCUAGUGCAGAGGCAAGUCCUCCGACAGCCUGGGGGUCCUCGUAGGUGGCCCUGGAGAUGAAGCAGCACCGGCAGGAAGGUCACAGGGGACGGGCAGUGACUUGCAGUCACUUCCCGUCUACAGCCCCUUCCUCCUUCCUCACAAGCACUCAGCACAAUGCUGCCCAUGGCCUCAGUGUUUCAGCCGUAGCUGAAGCCAGAGGCCAGGGUUUGAGCACAGGUUCAGCCAGCCCUCCCUCCAGGGUCGGGACUCUGCACCUCACUGUCCCUCUUCUAAGUAACAGCACGGGCAUCUCUACGGUGCAACGGCGGGAUGGCAGAAGUGCCCUGACACUGCUUAGCGGGAGGGGCUAGACAGAGGAAAGGCGGUUUUAAUCCUUGUUUUAAAAGCACAGCCUGAGCAACAUCUGACAAGGAAGCUGGUCUCAGGGUCUGGGGUCGGGUCUGUUGUCUUCCGCUCCCCAACUUCCUCCGCUGGAUCACUCUGAAAGCAGCUUUUGCUGAAGGGCGCAUGAGGCCCUGGGUCUCUGGUCCACCGCUGAGUCCUGAGCACGGGGCUCAGAGACCUCCAUGUGUCAAGACAUUGGGUCCCUGGGGAGGUGGGGAACAGUGUCCCUCACCUGCCUUUAGGCUGGACAGAAAGCUCAAAGCAGGUUCCAGAGAGCUGCAGGGGGCUGUGGAUUCUGGAUUCGACUCCCCCACGUCCACAUGGCUCACGGUGCUCAGAGCUGCUGUCGGGGAAGCCCUGCCUGCACCCCCGGGGGCCCUGGCUCCCGGCAGACGAGGUCACGAGGCAGCAGAGAGAACAGCAGAGCCCCCUCCACUCCUGUGACUGGCGGGGGAGCCGCGACACAUGCCCCACAGUGGAGUGCUGGCCCCCAUUCCACGUCGCGCCUACCGACAAGUCCCAACAGCCAGAGUUUAGAGUUCUCAGAGGUCCUGGACCCGGCAAACAAAAGGCCUCUCGUGCUAGUGUGGGGCCAGACGGGGGUCAAUCCCCCCCAGGGUCUCCCGAGAGCCUUCGACAGGGUCCCCACAUACGUCUUGCGUUGCUCAGCCAAGGAGCUCCCUCUCGUCUGGGCAAACAUGUCAAAGCUGUCCCGGGGGUCGCACUGCUGCAGGGAACUGAGGGUGCCGCUGACGCUCUCUGUCCCCAGGUCUGUGACAAGAGAACGGGGGUGGGGUGGGGUGGCAGGAACGAAUGUGGAUCUGAUGUGGUGAAGGGCCACCCAGGCGGGGUGAAAUUCUGGGGGGAGGGGGCAGAAGAGAGAGGGGAGAGCCAUGGACCCCCAAGCCGCUCAGGAACCAGCGGGGGUAAGAAGGCAGGCCCACAGGCUCCGGCCUCCCCAGGGCACUCCGGGUGGCUGGUCACAGCUGAGGACGUGGUCGUUUAUUUGUCAAGUAUUCCACAGGCGCCUGUGCAUUCAGAGCCUAACCCUGCCUGGACCAGAGUGAAUCUGAUGUGGCUCUCGGCCUCCAGGGUACCCAGGGUCAGGGAACAGACAGAGACAACAACUUAGCUGGAGGCACUGGAGAGGCUGGAAGCUGCCACAGCACCAGGGGCCUGGGCUGCAUGCGGCUUUAUUUUUAUAGAUUGGCACCAUCCCGUGAGUGUAAGACCUCAAGUCGCGCCCACACUUUGAAGGCAAUGACCUGUGGAAAAGCGGCGUCUCCGUUUCAGGCUCCAGAGGAUGCAGCACUUUUGCUGAUGCUGCUUCGAGGACGGCAAACCCCUUCCUGCUUCUGCGCGCAGCUGACACCACCAGGCAGCCAGAGCAUGUUGCCCAAGCCCUGAUGUGGCCUCGGCACCCUUCCUGGACCCGCGUGUCUAGCACCCAAUGAACUGAAACCUACUUGCCACCCUUGGCCUGACUGACACUGAGGAGGAAAUCACUUCAACCACAGGGAAUAUUCCAGAUACAACACGGCCGCCACCUUUCUUUAAGAAGCAAGCAGCUUCCCGUUCCUUGGGCCCGCCCCCACCCCGGCUUUCCAACACAGAUUUAAACUUUAAGUUUGGGGGAAGAAGUUUUGAAGCGAAGCUGGGCCUGGAAACAGGCUUCCCCACGGACCCCCCACAGGGCUCUCUCAGGCGUUGCACAGAGAGAAGGGCUGGAGACACUCACCCAAGCCCGCCAGCUGGGAGGAGAGGGAAGACGGGGGCGCCGUGCUCCCUACGGCGGGGCUCACCACGGCUGGAGACCCCGGCCCCAGGUCUAUGAGGUUGUCCUCUGCCACUUCACUCAGCGCCUGUCAGGGCAGGCGGGCCUGGCAUGAGCAAGCCCAGCCCACAGGCCACCCCCGCACCCUAGCGAGGUGAGGCUGCCUCAGUCACCAGGACAGGGAGGUCCCGGGAGCUGUCACCCUCCCGCCAGGGACGUGCCGCCAGCGCCUCGUGGGACCCCAUCACCAGAGCCUGCUCUUCCAUCGCCCAAAUACUUUCACCCGUGCUAGAGAAACCGGAGGUGAGGCCAAACCAAGGCGGGUGUCCUGGCCCCAGAGGCGAGAGUCCUGAAGGAAUACUCACCCCAUUGCUGGCAUUCUGUGCGGAUCGGCCCGACCUGUACCGCUCGAACCUGACGGAGAAGGGAGGGCAGAGUGAGGGGGGACGGAAGCCCAGGACACGGCACCGUGAUGCUCCCUGGCCCCAGGAGCUUCUGGAGACCGAGGGCAGGAGGCCAGCAGAGACCCAGCUCCAGGAAAGGAGACCAACCAGGCCCACCUCCUUCGCUGUGCCUGCCACCCCAUGGGGAUCCCUGGAGCAGGUGUCAGCUGGCACAUCCAGGCGGCCAGCAGAAGCUCCCCCCGCCACCCCUCGCAGCCCGGGCCGUGUGCUCCUCUGACCUGGAGGGGAGGCUGGGGUCCCUCUGAGGGCGAGGCAGGCACUGCAGCCCCUGGGGUUCUCCAGCUGGGGUUCUGCUGAGACCCCUGCUCAACAUCAGUCUGCACCCUCGCUGGGGUCAGUGCCUGCUGAGGGGGACCCCAGGGGGGGACACCUGGGUGAUGCCUGCGGGGCUGUGCUUUGUCCUCAGUGUCUAAAGGAGCAAGUGCCCAGAGGGCCCCUGAGACUUUCCAAGGCUGGAGCACCUCCCCAGCCCUCUGUGACGGACAAGCGGUCUCAACAGAGGCCCCCUGGCCCCGGCUCUGCUUGAACUGUGACACUGGGGCCGAAAAUGCCCGCGCCAGAAGGGCCUCAUGGCUCUAGCAGGUGAAAGGCAGCCCAUUCAGGGUGGAGGAACUGGACCGCCCUGCAAGACCACAGGUGCUGGUGUCUGCUCCUGUUCCCCCACGGGCUGGGACGGCUAAAUCCUUACACCGAGGUCUCUUCAUCCAUCAGACAGACACCGGCCACCCACCCCAACCGCCGCAGUCGAAGCUGAGAAAAGCCCAGAGUUGUGGCAGCCUUGGCCAAGUCACCCUCCAAGGCCCCAGAGGCGAGCAUCUGGAAUGCCAGGACAGCAGCCACCAGCCGGCAGCCCUGAGAGGGGGUGCCCGGGCCUGGCCCACGGGAGGAGAAGGCUGGCCUGGUGGGGCGCUUUCAGGGGCGGCCGCCCAUCAGAGCGACCGGUGGAACCUGCCUGGUGUCAACCCGCCCCCGGGAACACUGCCCGGGCCACAUGGGGAAGGGAAAGGUACAUAUAUGUUUGCUGCCUCGAACCCAAAAAGGCUUUGGCUGCAGGAGAGCGAGAGUGACUGUGUUCCCGCAGCAGCACCCUGACAUCUGGCCUGCACCCCGCCUGCCUCUGAACAUCCAGAGAAGGGAGAGAUCUUGCUCUUUCCAAAAGCGGGUCAAGCAGACAGACCAGGGCAGAGUCCCAGGAGGCAGACUUCAGCUCCGUGUGUGGAAGGGGAGCAGCUUGUGGUCACAGUGGCUUCGACAGCUGCGCCCACACUGUAGCUCAUUCAUCAGACGAUGCCCAGUCCUUCCACGGUGAGAGAUCACCCCAGGCUCCGAGCCCCGGCCAGCACUGCGAGCCUGGCCAGCUUCUACCCCAAGCGAUCUGGCCGCUCUCCAGCUCGACAGAGGGGUCCUCAGGGCACAGUCGGACCCUGUCCCUUUCCAAGCAGAUCGUGGCAUUUUUCCCAAGCGGAAGCUUGCUGUUCGGUGCUGCCCCGAGUGACCCCUGGGAAACCCCACCUGGCCAGCUGCCGACUGUGGAGGGAAGGAGGCCGAUGUCGAGAAUGAUGGAGGAGCGAGGCCAGCGGCCUGAAGAGCCGUGUCUGUUCACAUCGAGCUGCCCGCCCCUGAGCCUCCCAGGCCGGAAGGACAGCCUCCCACUGGCGCCCAGCACUGCCCUCCCUCUGACUUAUACGACAGCAUGAGGGUGGGUCGGCUUGGAGUCGGAACAAAACAGAGGGAAGGGAAAUGUCAUGGGAAGCAACCUAUUUUUGAAAACUGUGAGCUGAGGCCAGGGGAUCAGGUUCCGUUUGUCUUGGCUGACGGGCUUGGGUACACACACACGCACACGUGUGCAUGCACACGUACACAGGGGUGCCUGCUGUCUGGGUGGCUUGGGCCGUCUGCUGCACACUGGCUUUGUUCUGCUCCCCCUGCGGCCAGGAGCUCAGCUCCGUCCACUGCAAACCCCUGUCAGCAGGAGCUCUGAUGCUGACACAGCACAGAGCUGCCUCCAGAGGCCCGCUGGGUUUCUGGACUCUCUGGGGACGCAUCUCAGAUUCCUGUGCCUCGAGGGAUGCCUGGAAGAGCCCCUGCGGGCCAGGGAUGGAGGCUGAUGCGGUAGCGAUGGAUGAUGUCUUGCCGGGUGCCCCAGAGUGUGGCACCUGCACAUGGGACUUGCCCCAGCCUGGCUGUGGCUGGGAGGCCCUCCUCGUGGUGGGAGAUGGGCUGCCUGCUGUGAACAUCUCUGGACCAGGGACCACGGCCCACACAUCCCUAGGCUCUCUCUGUGUGUGGGGUGGGGGUGGGGGUAGGGGGUGCCCAGAGCAGGCCUCCGCCCACCCUCAUCCCCUGAGGUGCAGACAAGCAGCAGGGACCCGCCCAGCCCCUGGGAGGGGGCGGGGCAAGCCUGAAGCAGAGUGCAGUGUGGCCCUCAGGGGACAGAGCCAGGCAGCCCUGCCAUGCCCACCUGCCCCACCUCCUGCUGGAGACAGCCCCAGGCCUCCCAGAACCCUCUCCCCCUCCAGAAGGUCACUGCUUCUGAGGGCAGUGCCACUGCCACUUCCCACAGACGCCGGAGUGUCUGAGCCAGGGUUGGGGAUAGCUCUGGGUCUGGCGGACCCAGAAGCAGGGCCUGGGGCAGGAUCCCCGCAGGCCAGCCUUGCUCCUGGGCCCUUUUGUGCCAGGUUUCUGGGUCUGCAGGGCGUCCCGUUAGCUACGGAGCCUCAGGAACCACGAUGUGGGCAAUCAUCCUGGGAACCCACAGCGCCAGGAAAAGGAAAGGGUCCCCUGCUUUACCCCACGCUCAGGGAAGGCUGAAGGUCCCUCACACAUUUGUGACAUAACGUUGGGUGAACAGAGAUGUGCAAAAUCGAGCACGGGAUAUCAUCUCACCCACAUUUGAAAUAAACAUGGGAAAGCAUCGUAAAGAAAAGAUGUGCUUAUCUGUGGACCCUGGGACUAAAGAAGAUUAUUAUUUUCUUCUUUGACUUCCAUUUUCUUUCAAAAGGCAUGUAUUCUGCAACUGGCACUUUCUAAUCAGCACAAAGUGUUUUGUUUUGUUUUGUUUUGUUUUGUUUAGAACAGAGGUACUGGGGAUUGAACCCAGGACCUCACGCAUGCUAAGCAUAUUCUCUACCACUGAGCUACUCCUACGCCCCCAAAAACUGUGUUCAAGGACAAUAAAGAAGAGAGCCUGGGACUGGACUCUGAGGGCCCCCAGGGCUUUGGGGCCGAGUGUGGGUCACAUGGGCUCAACCCCUCUCGAGGACAGCACCCCAACCCCACCCCACCUCCCACCUCCCUGCGUGCCCCUGGCCCGGAGCUUCCACGAGACGAGGCCCCUCACC